AUCCAUCUGACGAAUGCAAAAUUAGGACGAAACGGGUGUCCUGGAU
rnacentral:hammerhead_ribozyme from 1 species